rnacentral:miRNA from 4 species
UGAACCAUGGUUAAUGAACAUUG